rnacentral:rRNA from 1 species
ACACUCCUACGGGAGGCAGCAGUGGGGAAUAUUGGACAAUGGGCGCAAGCCUGAUCCAGCCAUGCCGCGUGAGUGGUGAAGGCCCUAGGGUUGUAAAGCUCUUUCACCGGUGAAGAUAAUGACGGUAACCGGAGAAGAAGCCCCGGCUAACUUCGUGCCAGCAGCCGCGGUAAUACGAAGGGGGCUAGCGUUGUUCGGAUUUACUGGGCGUAAAGCGCACGUAGGCGGACUAUUAAGUCAGGGGUGAAAUCCCGGGGCUCAACCCCGGAACUGCCUUUGAUACUGGUAGUCUUGAGUUCGGGAGAGGUGAGUGGAAUUCCGAGUGUAGAGGUGAAAUUCGUAGAUAUUCGGAGGAACACCAGUGGCGAAGGCGGCUCACUGGCUCGAUACUGACGCUGAGGUGCGAAAGCGUGGGGAGCAAACAGGAUUAGAAACCCUGGUAGUCCCA